ensembl:lncRNA
UGAGGAGGAGGAACUGUUCAACUGAAAAGUUACAACCUCCACGGCUGCAUUCUUACACAUUUGUUGAAAAGAGAACGUGUAAAAGGUGUGCAUUCUGGUACCCUGCAGUCAAAAUGAAGAACCCUGUUCUCCUCUCUGCAGCCCUGCUGCUGCUGUUUUUUGUUGGGACAUCAGCUCAGGGUAACACUAACUUCAGAGUGCAGGUGAAUGUGCCACCCAGUGACAUUAAGACCUACAACACUUCUACUGCUUAUAGAGGAAGCCUCUUCGGUGGACUGACGAGACUGAAAUACUCAAACCAAGGCUUCAAGUAUGGGAUGUUACCUUCCAACAGCAAAUGAAGUCGUCACCCUGAAAUACACGAAAAUUUAAGACCAUCUAAAGUCUUAUUGUUACUUAUGGUCAACCAAUACACUUUGAUCUUUGGCAAGUUGAGGUGAAUAAUUGACUUGUUGUGUCAUUUUUUUGCUUGGGAGUCUUUUAAUCAUAAAUCAGUAGCCUAUCACUGUCUUAGAUUCUUUUACUGGGUUUCUGUCAGACUUUAUGAAUUAAGAUUACAGCGUUAAUCUACAAUUCUGCCACAGUGUAGUAAUCUGAAGUAAGAGAAAACUCCAUCAGUCACAAGAGCAAUCAGUAAAACAUAUACAACACUUCCGUAUUAGUCAACUGAAGUUCUUGAAUUGUUUUUUAAUUUACUGCCUUUAUGGCAACUUUUAUUGUGUUUGAGAGUAAUUAAUAGUUUCUCAACUUGCCCCUGAGUGUCAUAAUUUUACAUUCAAAUUUCAUUUUUUGAGAGCUACAAGUGCUCUCAGUUUUACUCUAAAAAGAUGGUGUGGUUAUACAGUAGACUGCCCAGAGACUGCUGGCCAGCAAAAACAGCAAGGUGGGUCAGCUGCUGACUCCAUGUCAAAAUAGCUUCUUUAUCCUGCAAAUCAAGUUAUCAACAGCUUGCGAGUCAAAAGGCUUCUGAGAUUGACUGGGCUGCUGACCUCCACCUGGACACCAGCAGGUCUCAAGAUCAGCUGUGAAAUUAAAGCUAUUUUUAUACUUUUGGGGCUCCUAGAGGGGUGUGAGAGGGGCAAAAUAAGAUCAAAUUCAUUGUUGAAUCAUUUUUGUAUUAGUGCAUUUUUAUUGUUUAUUAAAAUGUUACUGAUUAUUAGUGUUAUCUUUUGCAGGCA